rnacentral:rRNA from 1 species
UUUCGUGUGAACAGCAGUUGAUCCCGAAUCAGUCGGUCCUAAGGAAUAGGGGAAACCCGUUCCGAAUUGAGGGAGUAUGAAAACAUAUCUGGCAAAAAUGGCAAAAUAAAACUAUUUGAAAAUAUGGYUAUAAUUCCUGAAUUGACCGAAAGGGAAUCGGGUUAAUAUUCCCGAACCCGGAUGCGGAAAUCGACCCCCAGUGGGUCUAAAGCGGCAACGCAAACGAACUCGGAGACGUCGGCGGGAGUCCCGGGAAGAGUUCUCUUUUCUUUGUAAGGAACGGACUCCCUGGAAUCGGUUCGCCCGGAGAUAGGGACGUUGUUUCCGUAAAGCACCGCGGCUCAUGCGGUGUCCGGAGCACUCCCGCCGACCCUUGAAAAUCCGAGGGAGAGACACAUCUUGAUUUUCGCACCGGACCGUACCCAUAUCCGCAGCAGGUCUCCAAGGUGAACAGCCUCUAGUCGAUAGAACA